UUCCAUCUCCUUUCCUUGUAAAAGUAACCCCGGCACCCCAUGGGGAAAUGCUGUGUCUAAUGAAGCCACUGUUUUGUAGCUCAGUGAUUUGUUUCCUUAGCUCUUCCAUUUCGAUGCGGCUCAUUCGGUAAGGAGCUACCGAGAUGGGUUGGGUUCCUGGCUAUAAGUCUAUGGUGAACUCGACCUCCCUGUCCCUUGGUAGACCGGGCAGUUCAUCCGAAAAUACGUCUGGAAAGUCUCGGACUACUGGAAUCUCUUGGAUACAAACUUUCUUCUUGGGUUUACCUAGUUAGGGAAAAUACAAUAUCAACGCACUGAGAAUUAAGAAGAAAAGAAUUUGUCAUUAGG
rnacentral:lncRNA from 1 species